rnacentral:tRNA from 1 species
AUUUAUAUAGUUUAAUAAAAACAUUGUAUUUUCAUUACAAAAUUAAAAUAUCUUUUAUAAAUU